GCACUGGUGGUUCAGUGAUAGAAUUGUCACCUUUUGUGCGGGAGACCCAGGUUCGAUUCCUGGCCGGUGCA